AACGAACGCUGGCGGCAGGCCUAACACAUGCAAGUCGAGCGAGAACUUCGGUUCUAGCGGCGGACGGGUUAGUAACGCGUGGGAAUAUGCCCUUCACUACGGAAUAGUCCCGGGAAACUGGGUUUAAUACCGUAUACGCCCUUCGGGGGAAAGAUUUAUCGGUGAAGGAUUAGCCCGCGUUGGAUUAGGUAGUUGGUGGGGUAAUGGCCUACCAAGCCGACGAUCCAUAGCUGGUUUGAGAGGAUGAUCAGCAACACUGGGACUGAGACACGGCCCAGACUCCUACGGGAGGCAGCAGUGGGGAAUCUUAGACAAUGGGGGCAACCCUGAUCUAGCCAUGCCGCGUGAGUGAUGAAGGCCUUCGGGUUGUAAAGUACUUUCAGCGGGGAGGAAGGGAGUAAAGUUAAUACCUUUGCUCAUUGACGUUACCCGCAGAAGAAGCACCGGCUAACUCCGUGCCAGCCGCCGCAGUAACAC
rnacentral:rRNA from 1 species